GAUGAACGCUGGCGGCGUGCCUAAUACAUGCAAGUCGAGCGAACGGACGAGAAGCUUGCUUCUCUGAUGUUAGCGGCGGACGGGUGAGUAACACGUGGAUAACCUACCUAUAAGACUGGGAUAACUUCGGGAAACCGGAGCUAAUACCGGAUAAUAUUUUGAACCGCAUGGUUCAAUAGUGAAAGACGGUCUUGCUGUCACUUAUAGAUGGACCCGCGCUGCAUUAGCUAGUUGGUAAGGUAACGGCUUACCAAGGCAACGAUGCAUAGCCGACCUGAGAGGGUGAUCGGCCACACUGGAACUGAGACACGGUCCAGACUCCUACGGGAGGCAGCAGUAGGGAAUCUUCCGCAAUGGGCGAAAGCCUGACGGAGCAACGCCGCGUGAGUGAUGAAGGUCUUCGGAUCGUAAAACUCUGUUAUUAGGGAAGAACAUAUGUGUAAGUAACUGUGCACAUCUUGACGGUACCUAAUCAGAAAGCCACGGCUAACUACGUG
rnacentral:rRNA from 1 species